GCCGGGCGUGGUGGCUCACGCCUGUAAUCCUAGCACUUUGGGAGGCUGAGGUGGGCGGAUCACCUGAGGUCAGGAAUUCAAGACCAGCCUGGCCAUUAUGGUGAAACCCCAUCUUUA
ensembl:misc_RNA Metazoa_SRP Metazoan signal recognition particle RNA